UCCUUCACAUAUUUUUUUUCCUUUUAGGUCAAUAUGUGAAUAUUUUAAAAAGUUGUUCAAAGACUUCUGGGGAUUGAAAGAAUUCAAGAGGUCUGAAGUUCGUUGCCGUAUCUUUGCAAGAAGAAUCAGCAUAUUGGCAUUUGGACUCUAGUGAAAGGGAUGAAAAUGAGAUUCUGUGAAGACACAGCAGAGUCAAUAAGCAGGAGCUUGGCUGUGGCAAGAAGGAUGAAACAACCAAAUUGAGACAAUUUGCAGGAAAAGUGAAAUUGCCACUAAUUGCCUCAAAGCUGUAACUUGAUGAAGCUGCAGUAAAUUGGAUCUGUUAUUUUUUGUAUGUCAGCCAGAGAACGUCCAUCUCACUCAGGGCCACUGUUUUAUACCUCUGUCGGGCCCCUGCUGGGAUAGAUAUUCUCCUGUGGAGCAGCAGGGCUGGAAGACCCCUGGAGAGGACUUAGCCCCAAUUGGCCGCAUGUCACUUGGGCCUCAAGGACUUCAAAAGGGUAAGGACACAGAGCCAGCUGCCUGGGUUUGAAUCUCGGUUCCACCUUUCACUCAACGUGUAACCAUGGAUGGCUGACUUCGUGUUCCGGUAACUGAAUGUCUUCGUCCGUAAAAUGAGGAUAAUGUGAGUACUACCUCCUACAGUUGUUGGAGAGUUCACAGAGUCAACAAGUGCCCAGCACCAGAAGGUGUGGGGCCGAGUUUGCUGCUAUCACUGUCAUCGUUUAACUGUGUCUCACUUGACUGCCGAGUUAUAUUUAUGGCAUCUCUUCUGGUAAUUUUCUCGAGCUCUGAAGUACCUUAUUGGCCUAUGGCUCCCUUUAUUUUCCUUGGGAGUGUGUGUUGUGCAGAACAUAAGUGUUGCUAUUGUAAUAAAAGAUAACUUCAAA